CUUCACCGAGCCGAGCCAGAGCGGCUGCUCCUCGGCGCGGUCCUGGCCGUAGGUGGCGGGCAGCGCCUGGGCCUC
rnacentral:antisense_RNA from 1 species